AUUCAUCUCCGGGGGUAGAGCACUGUUUCGGCUAGGGGGCCAUCCCGGCUUACCAACCCGAUGCAAACUGCGAAUACCGGAGAAUGUUAUCACGGGAGACACACGGCGGGUGCUAACGUCCGUCGUGAAGAGGGAAACAACCCAGACCGCCAGCUAAGGUCCCAAAGUCAUGGUUAAGUGGGAAACGAUGUGGGAAGGCCCAGACAGCCAGGAUGUUGGCUUAGAAGCAGCCAUCAUUUAAAGAAAGCGUAAUAGCUCACUGGUCGAGUCGGCCUGCGCGGAAGAUGUAACGGGGCUAAACCAUGCACCGAAGCUGCGGCAGCGACACUCAGGUGUUGUUGGGUAGGGGAGCGUUCUGUAAGCCUGCGAAGGUGGCCUGUGAGGGUUGCUGGAGGUAUCAGAAGUGCGAAUGCUGACAUAAGUAACGAUAAAGCGGGUGAAAAGCCCGCUCGCCGGAAGACCAAGGGUUCCUGUCCAACGUUAAUCGGGGCAGGGUGAGUCGACCCCUAAGGCGAGGCCGAAAGGCGUAGUCGAUGGGAAACGGGUUAAUAUUCCCGUACUUGGUGUUACUGCGAAGGGGGGACGGAGAAGGCUAUGUUGGCCGGGCGACGGUUGUCCCGGUUUAAGCGUGUAGGUGUGUGUUCCAGGUAAAUCCGGUU
rnacentral:rRNA from 1 species